UAAACACACAUAUACCUUCUACUUUUGCUGCAGAAGUUCUGGCUUGCUACCAUGUUGUCCAAUUAGGUCUCAAUUUGGGCUUACAAAAGGUGAUUUCGAAGGCAACUUCCUUAUUGUGAUUCACAAGCUUUAUUCCCUUCACCAUGGCGAGUCGAUUAUUGGCCACCUGUUGGAUUCUAAGGGCCUCCACGGUGAAGGGAAUAAUCUACCUGCAUGUUUGAUUCAAGUUAAGGGGUUGGUCGGGCAGUUUCGCUUGGAUCGGUUUUUGCAUGUUUCCUGUAAGGGGAAUACAGUGGCCCACCUGUUGGAUUCUAAGGGCCUCCACGGUGAGGGUUGCGCUUUUUAGAGGUGAAUUCUCUAUAUGGCUCUAUUGGCUAUGGGGAGGGAUUGUCGCGCUUCGUGUGUAGGUGCGCUUUUCAGAGGCAGAUUCUCACGCUGUCUCGGUUCACGGUGGUAAGGAUUUGGAUUAGGGGGAGCUCAAGGGUCAUGAUGGUUUUCUAGGAGCUUGUGGGUGCUUUCAUUGCCUCUUGGGUAGACUUUCAGAUCUCCGUGUGUGUCAGUUUCUUGGUUUGCCAACUCGAUAGAGCCUCCUUCGUGUUUUUUGGCCACUGUUACUGGUUAUUUUGUUUGAAAUUGGCAGCUACUCUUUGGCUCAAGUUGUUUCCAAAAGGGUUUUUUAGAACAACUCUUUUGCUCUUGUAAAUGCCUUCCUAUCUAGUGCGUUUGAGAGCUGUCUGUGCUGGGCUUUCCUUUAGGACUUUCAGGGUUUCUUUCUAUUUGAGUUGUGGAUUGCUUUUUUCUUUUCUAAUAUUGUCUUUUGGACUUGUUUUGUUGCUUUUGCUUGUGUUCUGUUUCUUUUAAUUGAAAGCUCGGUUUCUUUCAAAAACAAAU
rnacentral:lncRNA from 1 species